rnacentral:rRNA from 1 species
GGGAAAAGGGGGGGUUUCCUUUUGAAAAUUUGACCUUGGUCAAAUGAAAGGUGGGGGCAGGCUAAAACAAUCAAAGUGGACGGGCAGCACAAGGGAGUUUUCUCUUAGGGUGCGAAGGGCCGGACGGGUGAAUUAUCCUAGGGAUCUUGCCCAGUCGAGGGGGAAAACAGUUGGAAACGACUGCUAAUCCCGCAUUCGCCCUACGGGGGAAAGAGGGGGACCUUCGGGCCUCUCGCGAUUGGAUGAACCUAGGUGGGAUUAGCUAGUUGGUGAGGUAAUGGCUCACCAAGGCGACGAUCCCUAGCUGUUCUGAGAGGAUGAUCAGCCACACUGGGACUGAGACACGGCCCAGACUCCUACGGGAGGCAGCAGUGGGGAAUAUUGCACAAUGGGGGAAACCCUGAUGCAGCCAUGCCGCGUGUGUGAAGAAGGCCUUCGGGUUGUAAAGCACUUUCAGUAGGGAGGAAAGGUGAGUCUUAAUACGGCUC